CUGUAGUCUGAGGCUUUAAAGGCGGGUUUUCCUGAUCUGUCUGAUCUGUUUGGGUCUGGGAUUUAUCUGAUCAUCAGAUGGACGCAGCAUGCUGAAAAAGGCUCUGACGUACCUGAGGCCGAUAUGGGGACAGAUACUGUGAACUAUCCCUUUAAAUCUCCUGAGCUCUGAAAGAGCAAACUGUGAGCAGUAACAUUUCCUUUGGGCCUAACUCUAGUCCUAACUAAGCCUGAAGUCUGGAUGGAUGAUGGGAAUAAUCUUUAACAAGGAUGUAAAUCCAGGAGCAAAAUGAAGGGGCCAAACACCACACAUCAUCAUCUUCUUUGUCGUCGUCUUCUACUUUGGGAGUCAAUGGGAACCCAUA